rnacentral:rRNA from 1 species
CCCUUAGAUGUUCUGGGCCGCACGCGCGCUGCAAUGGUCUUCGCAAACGGAUGCAUUCUCGAAGGAGAAUGCCAAUCUUGGAAUCUAUGCCUUGGUCGGGACAGUUGCUUGCAAUUUUUCGACUCGAACCAGGAAUUCCUUGUAAUCGUGAUUCAUCACAUCACGAUGAAUACGUCCCUGCCCUUUGUACACACCGCCCGUCGCUCCUACCGAUCGAAGAGUUAGGUGAAUUGUUUUGAUCGAUAAGAUUUGACUAUGGUCAACUCUCGUUGUGAAAUUCUGUGAAUCUGACUGUUUAGAGGAAGGAAAAGUCGUAACA